GGGGGCGCCCAGGCGCCAUCAACUCGCUGUUUUCACCAAUUGCCCACGCUCAGGCGCCCCUGGGGGGCACCCAGGCGCCAUCAACUCGCUGUUUUCAGCAAUUUGUCACGCUUGGGNGCCCUAGAGGGGGGCGCUGGGCGCGUCCUGUUUUGCUGAGUUGGCACCCUAGAACUAUAAAUAGCACACAGUUUUCGAGGGCAAGGGACUCUUGGCGGCUGAAGCUUGGGAGCAUCGUUUUGGACCUUUUGGAGCAAGUUUUGGGCUGUGGGAACUCACCCAUCUUCUUCCUUGGGUCUUCUUCUUCACCAUUUUCAUUCCAUUGUAAGCUCAAGCUCUCCAUUAAUGGAGAGCUAAGUUCAUUAUUGUUGGAGAGUGAUGUAAACUAGGAACUUCUUGUAAAUGCACUUGAGUUUAAAUGAAAAAUACUUUAUUCAUUACUUNUUGGUGUUUUUGCCUUUCUCUUAAUGCUGGUUAUGACUUGAUCAACCAUAGCUUGAUUGUGGGGUUUACUUAAGGUUGGGAAACUUUGGGUAAAACUUGAACUAGGCUAAACACCUAAGGGAAAUAGUGUCUAGGGAUAGAACUAGGACCUUUAGUUGUCAUUAACUUCUUUUCUUAAUGCGGGUGAAUUUGNUGGAUUACCAAGGGAUUGGGAUUUAACAAAUGAACCUAGGCUAACUCACCAAGGGAUUGGGUUUUAGUAAAUUAGCUAGUUGGCAAGAACAAGUUAUUAAUGAAGGGUGUUGUAGUGCAUUUGCAUAGCAAGGAACUAGUUGAAAUCAUUCUCCAACAUGUUGAUUCCACAUAGUUAUCAAUCAUUUUCAUUUUCACUAGUUUUGGCCCCAAUUAGUUCAAAUUUUACUUAUGCAUAAAAUUUACUUUCAUUGCAUUAUACCAACCAAAAAUUGGAACCAUUCUUUAGCUUGAGUCAGUUAGUAAUUAUACGAGUGUAGAGUAAUAUCGAAGUCUCUAGGGAAACGAUUUCCGGUCUUACCGGCUUUANUACUUNCACGACUUGGUAUACUUGCCAAAGUCUUAACAAGUUUUUGGCGCCGUUGCCGGGGANUUCGGUUUAAUUACUUUACGUUGUGUGAUUUCUAACCUAUUUAAGCUUUACUCUUACAUUCUUUUUUAUUUUUAAAUAAAUUUUACUCUCAUCAUUUGUGGGCUAACUUGGUGCUCUAGUACUAUUGGCUCUAGUGUAUGCAGGGCACAAUCCGUACUAGGAGCACACGAUCUUCUGAACCUCUCCUUUUAGAUCUUGAAGUUGAAAAGACAGCCCGACGAAACAACAGCAGAAGAAGAAGGAGAAAUCGGGCGUCUAGAGAAGCAUCUCCAGCUCCUGGGACCACUGAACAACUUAUUGUGCCUACAGCUGAGUAGGAAGUGGAACAAAUGGCUGGAAAUUUGAAUGGUGAUGGUGAUGGGCAAGAUAGACGCACUCUGGAGGAUUUCAAUACCUUUUCAGGGUCGUUUCAGUUUAACAGUAUCGCUAGGCCACAAAUCAAUGCACCAAACAUGGAGGUGAAGCCUGCUCUUAUUCAUCUGGUGCAAGGCAAGCAAUUUCAUGGCCUAGCACAUGAAGAUCCAUUCAAACACAUCACCGGUUUCUUGGAGAUNUGCAACACGGUGAAGCUUCAAGGUGUUCCAGAUGACUUCAUAAGGCUUAGCCUCUUCCCCUUCUCUCUUGAAGGCAAUGCCAAGGAGUGGCUCACUUCAUUUCCUGAAAACAGCAUCACUUCGUGGGAUGAUUUGGUGGCCAAGUUUUGCAACAAAUACUUCCCUCAAUCCAAAGUCACAAAAGGGAAGCAAGAGAUCUCAUCAUUCCAGCAGGGAUUUAAUGAGACAUUGGGUCAAGCUUGGGAAAGAUUCAAGGGGCUACUAAGGAAAACACCCACUCACGGGUUUGAUGAGCCCACAAUCCUGAAUGUGUUCUUGACAGGACUUGAUUCCCAAACUAAGUUGAUGUUGGAUGCCUCAUCUUGCGGAAACAUCCGUCGGAAGACUCCACAAGAAGCCCGGGUGCUCAUUGAAAAUAUGGCCGCUAAUGAUAAUGAAGCGCAAAAUGAGAGGGGGCAACAAAGAGGUGUCCUACAACUCCANUCUUAAUGCGGGUGAAUUUGGUGGAUUACCAAGGGAUUGGGAUUUAACAAAUGAACCUAGGCUAACUCACCAAGGGAUUGGGUUUUAGUAAAUUAGCUAGUUGGCAAGAACAAGUUAUUAAUGAAGGGUGUUGUAGUGCAUUUGCAUAGCAAGGAACUAGUUGAAAUCAUUCUCCAACAUGUUGAUUCCACAUAGUUAUCAAUCAUUUUCAUUUUCACUAGUUUUGGCCCCAAUUAGUUCAAAUUUUACUUAUGCAUAAAAUUUACUUUCAUUGCAUUAUACCAACCAAAAAUUGGAACCAUUCUUUAGCUUGAGUCAGUUAGUAAUUAUACGAGUGUAGAGUAAUAUCGAAGUCUCUAGGGAAACGAUUUCCGGUCUUACCGGCUUUAUUACUUGCACGACUUGGUAUACUUGCCAAAGUCUUAACAGGGG
rnacentral:lncRNA from 1 species